rnacentral:sRNA from 1 species
CCAUAGCCCUGAUCGUAGAGGAAAUCCUUUUUUGCGUAGGCUUUGAGAACUUUUGAUUGACCAAUCGUGAUGCAAAAAAGAUUGCAACGGAGAGCAGGUUCCCGG